GCCAGCCCGCNNGGUAAUACGUAUGGGGCAAGCGUUGUCCGGAUUUACUGGGCGUAAAGGGCGCGUAGGCGGUUUGUUAAGUCGAAGGUGAAAUUCCCUCGGGCUCAACUCGAGAAUGGCCUUCGAUACUGGCAAACUAGAGUGCCGGAGAGGAAAGCGGAACUCUUGGUGUAACGGUGGAAUGUGUAGAUAUCAAGAGGAACACCGGUGGCGAAGNCGGCUUUCUGGACGCACACUGACGCUCAGGCGCGAAAGCGUGGGUAGCAAACAGGAUUAGAUACCCUGGUAGUCCACGCCAUAAACGAUGGGUACUAGGUGUCGGGGGUAUCGACCCCUCCGGUGCCGCAGUUAACGCACUAAGUACCCCGCCUGGGGAUUAUGGUCGCAAGGCUGAAACUCAAAGGAAUUGACGGGGCCCCGCACAAGCGGUGGAGCAUGUGGUUUAAUUCGACGCAACGCGAAGAACCUUACCUGGGCUUGGCAUGCUUGGGACAGCGCUGGAAACAGCGUCUCUCCUUCGGGAGCCCUUGCACAGGUGCUGCAUGGCUGUCGUCAGCUCGUGUCGUGAGAUGUUGGGUUAAGUCCCGCAACGAGCGCAACCCUCGUUACUAGUUGCCAUCAGUUCGGCUGGGCACUCUAGUGAGACUGCCGGUGAUAAACCGGAGGAAGGUGAGGAUGAUGUCAAGUCAUCAUGGCCCUUACGCCCAGGGCUACACACGUGCUACAAUGGUCGGCACAAAGGGUCGCUAAGCCGCGAGGUGGAGCUA
rnacentral:rRNA from 1 species